UUAAAGGAAUUGACGGAAGGGCACACAAGGUGUGGAGCCUGCGGCUUAAUUUGACUCAACACGGGUAAUCUCAUCUGGUCCGGACACAGGAAGGAUUGACAGAUUGAGAGCUCUUUCUUGAUUCUGUGGGUGGUGGUGCAUGGCCAUUCUUAGUUGGUGGAGCGAUUUGUCUGGUUAAUUCCGUUAACGAACGAGACUCUAGCCUACUAAAUAGACGUUCCGAUCCUCCGCGUCGGACGUUCUUCUUAGAGGGACGGGCGGCGACUAGCCGCACGAAACAGAGCAAUAGUAGGUCUGUGAUGCCCUUUGAUGUCCAGGGCCGCACGCGCGCUACAUUGAAGGAACCAGCGUGUGCUUUCCCUGUCCGACAGGACUGGGUAACCCGUUGAACCUCCUUCGUGCUGGGGAUAGCAAAUUGCAAUUAUUUUGCUUGAACGAGGAACACCCAGUAAGCACGAGUCAUCAGCUCGUGCUGACUAUGUCCCUGGCCUUUGUUCACACCGCCCGUCGCUACUACCGAUUGAAUGAUUUAGUGAGGUCUUCGGACUGGCGCUCGGAUUGGCUUUCGAGUCGAGCCGACGUGCCGGAAAGAUGACCAAACUUGAUCAUUUAGAGGAAGUAAAAGUCGUAACAAGGUUUCC
rnacentral:rRNA from 1 species